rnacentral:misc_RNA from 1 species
UACGUAGGUGUCGAGCGUUAUCCGGAAUUACUGGGCGUAAAGGGCACGCAGGCGGCUUGGCAAGUCCAGCGUGAAAGCUCCCGGCUUAACUGGGAGAGGUCGUUGGAAACUGUCGAGCUUGAGGCAGUGAGAGGGGAGCGGAAUUCCCGGUGUAGUGGUGGAAUGCGUAGAUAUCGGGAAGAACACCAGUGGCGAAGGCGGCUUCCUGGCACUGACCUGACGCUCAUGUGCGAAAGCGUGGGUAGCGAACGGG